UUUUACUUAAAGCACUCUGGCAUUGCAAAGAAAUGCUAAAAGCCUGUGAUUUAAUUAAUAUAACAUUUAUUUCACAGUGUAAAAUAACAACAGAGAUGAUAACAAUUUCAAAAUAUCAUGCAGGUUAUGUUGAAUGAUACAGUAAUGAAAUAUGAAAUUCGCUUUAAAAGGAAUAGUCCGUCACUUUUUAAGUAAACCAUUUGUUAAGUUUAAAUUUCAGGUCUGUACACAGACAGCACAUUUGUUUAAGAUAGUUGUCUCGUGCGCAACCGAAUAUUUAUUCCCCACUGAAGAAACACUGUUUUUGUUUAUCUGUUUAUAUCAAGGGAGAUAAUUUAUAGAUUUUCUGAGUAAGUAUGGUUGCUGUUGCCUCCCUUGGGUGUUGAUGGUGUUAGAUCCAACUGACCUUUCCUGUAAUAUGAUAUUGUAGAGUGUGUCUUCUUGUAUUUCAGAUGUUCAUGGAGUUGUCUACCCUUUGAUAAAAGUUUGUGUUUAACUGUUUCAGGUUUUUUUAAUACUGUCUCUGAUAUGUUUCUUCUCUUUGCAUUUGAUGUAGGCUAUAAGCUGCUUUCUCAGAGAGACGAAUCCCUAAACACCCCAAUUUCUUCUCAGCGCUGUCCGCAACACCGUUAUUUAAGCGGUGAAUGGUAGAAUUGAGGCGUCCAUGAAUAUUCCGCGCGAAAUCAUUAUUUUUUGGUUGCGACACACUAAUAGAUAGAUUCACCCGCUUCACGUUUCAACGUGCUGGUGCCCAAUUUCAUCUUUUCGAUAGCGCUCACACUUAUUUUCAUUUUAACUAUGUCAAAAUUAAUUGUUUGUCAUUCUCUUGUAGGCACAAGUUUGUAAUUCUAUGGCUGCUGAGGAACAUGGAGCGGUUCCACCAGUUGUUUGCUACUCCACCAGAACAACACGUAUGAGUAGCGUCUACACUUAGAGCAGUCCCCAGCAUAACAGCUCAUUGUAGCAUCCAGAACACGAGAUGAAGUCGCAGAAGCACUUGGCGGCAACAGCAUUGCACUUCUUGAGAGCUCACUACCAUCUGCAGUAGGCCUGGAUGUCACUGGAAAUUCAUCUACAGUCAGUCUGAUGAUAGAUCUCUUAGACUCAGUAUCUACAUGACAAGAGUUGUCAAACUUCAAGCCUUUAUUCCAUGGCACAAGUUUGUAAUUCUAUGGCUGCUGAGGAACAUGGAGCGGUUCCACCAGUUGUUUGUUACUCCACCAGAACACACGUAUGAGUAGCUUCUACACUUAGAGCAGUCCCCAGCAUAACAGCUCACUGUAGCAUCCAGAACACGAGAUGAAGUCGCAGAAGCACUUGGCGGCAACAGCAUUGCACCUCUUGAGAGCUCACUACCAUCUGCAGUAGGCCUGGAUGUCACUGGAAAUUCAUCUACAGUCAGUCUGAUGAUAGAUCUCUUAGACCCAGUAUCUACAUGACAAGAGUUGUCAAACUUCAAGCCUUUAUUCCAUGGUGAGUUCCUUUGCUUGAAC